rnacentral:rRNA from 1 species
AGAACGAACGCUGGCGGCAGGCCUCAAACAUGCAAGUCUAGGGGGUGUAGCAAUACAUCACCGGCGGACGGGUGCGUAACGCGUGGGAAUAUACCUAUUGGUUCGGAACAACUGAGGGAAACUUCAGCUAAUACCGAAUGUGCCCUAACGGGGAAAGAUUUAUCGCCAAUGGAUUAGCCCGCGUUCGAUUAGCUAGUUGGUGGGGUAACGGCUCACCAAGGCUACGAUCGAUAGCUGUUCUGAGAGGAAGAUCAGCCACACUGGGACUGAGACACGGCCCAGACUCCUACGGGAGGCAGCAGUUGGGAAUCUUGGACAAUGGGGGAAACCCUGAUCCAGCCAUGCCGCGUGAGUGAUGAAGGCCUUCGGGUUGUAAAACUCUUUCGCGCACGACGAUAAUGACGGUAGUGCGAGAGAAGCUCCGGCUAACUUCGCGCCAGCAGCCGC